CCGGAGACUCUAUGGGGUGUGUGUUGUUCGCCUUCUCCGGAAUAUUAUGGGGCUGCGAAUCUCUCUAUCUUUGUCGAACUCUUGAAAAUGUCAGGCCGCACUGAAAUAUAUCAACGUGUUAAAAGCGGGAUGCACGGCGAGUACAAAGAACCUCAUCAAUGGAGACUAUUAUUUUAAAAAAGUAAAUAAAUCACGUGCCCUUUUAUCAAAUAAAUAAAUAAAUAAAAUUACCUUUCCCUAUAUAGCGUUGAUUGUCCGCUCUGCUCCGGAGUUCAAAAUCUCAGUCCCAGCGGCGGUAAUCAUGUCCGUUUUACUUCUCCGCUUGUUGUUCGCCGUCACCGGCGUUUUCCACAUUGUCGGAG
rnacentral:lncRNA from 1 species